AACGAACGCUGGCGGCGCGCCUAACACAUGCAAGUCGAACGAGAAGGCGUAGCAAUACGCUUGUAGAGUGGCGAACGGGUGAGUAAUACGUGGGUGACCUACCCUCGAGUGGGGAAUAACCCGCCGAAAGGCGGGCUAAUGCCGCGUACGCUUCCGUCCUCACGGGGACGGAAGGGAAAGCUGUACCGUGGGUACGGCGCUCAAGGAUGGGCUCACGUCCUAUCAGCUUGUUGGUAGGGUAACGGCCUACCAAGGCUACGACGGGUAGCUGGUCUGAGAGGACGAUCAGCCACACUGGCACUGCGACACGGGCCAGACUCCUACGGGAGCAGCAGUGAGGAAUAUGCGCAAUGGCGAAAGCCUGACGCAGCGACGCCGCGUGGGGGAUGAAGGUC
rnacentral:rRNA from 1 species